GGAGGCGUGGCAGAGCGGUUGAAUGCAGCUGACUUGAAAUCAGCCAUGUCCGCAAGGGCAUCGUGGGUUCGAAUCCUACCGCCUCCGCCA
rnacentral:tRNA from 1 species